UCGCCUUGGUACACUAACUAAGAAGAAAAUAUUGUUUCCUUGUCAGUACACCCAUUCAUCAAAUGUUUAUUUUACUUCUUUAAAGUUUGAACACCAUCAACAAAAUUUCUGUUUUUUCCAUCUUGUGAAAUCAUGCUUCUCCUUUUUUCUGUUUCUUUUUUUGUGAUCUCCUUGUAUGUCCUCCUAUAUAUUUCAUUAAGUACAUAUAUUUGCCAGAAAUAUCAUCUUAUCUUUGAAGUUUCCCUGUUGACCCUAUCUUUCUUGUAUAUAGAACUGCAAUUUUCUGCAAUCACUAAG
rnacentral:lncRNA from 1 species